UACGUAGGCAGCAAGCGUUGUUCGGAGUUAUUGGGCGUAAAGGGCUCGUAGGCGGUCUGUCGCGUCGGUAGUGAAAACUCAGGGCUUAACCCUGAGCCUGCUUCCGAUACGGGCAGACUAGAGGUAUGCAGGGGAGAAUGGAAUUCCUGGUGUAGCGGUGAAAUGCGCAGAUAUCAGGAGGAACACCGGUGGCGAAGGCGGUUCUCUGGGCAUUACCUGACGCUGAGGAGCGAAAGUGUGGGGAGCGAACAGG
rnacentral:rRNA from 1 species